GACGAACGCUGGCGGCGUGCCUAAUACAUGCAAGUAGAACGCUGAAGGAGGAGCUUGCUUCUCUGGAUGAGUUGCGAACGGGUGAGUAACGCGUAGGUAACCUGCCUGGUAGCGGGGGAUAACUAUUGGAAACGAUAGCUAAUACCGCAUAAUAGUAGAUGUUGCAUGACAUUUGCUUAAAAGGUGCAAUUGCAUCACUACCAGAUGGACCUGCGUUGUAUUAGCUAGUUGGUGGGGUAACGGCUCACCAAGGCGACGAUACAUAGCCGACCUGAGAGGGUGAUCGGCCACACUGGGACUGAGACGCGGCCCAGACUCCUACGGGAGGCAGCAGUAGGGAAUCUUCGGCAAUGGACGGAAGUCUGACCGAGCAACGCCGCGUGAGUGAAGAAGGUUUUCGGAUCGUAAAGCUCUGUUGUAAGAGAAGAACGAGUGUGAGAGUGGAAAGUUCACACUGUGACGGUAUCUGACCAGAAAGGGACGGCUAACUACGUG
rnacentral:rRNA from 1 species